UACGUAGGGUGCGAGCGUUGUCCGGAAUUAUUGGGCGUAAAGAGCUCGUAGGCGGUGUGUCGCGUCGGCCGUGAAAACCUGGGGCUCAACCCCGGGCCUGCAGCCGAUACGGGCAAACUAGAAUUCGGUAGGGGAGACUGGAAUUCCUGGUGUAGCGGUGAAAUGCGCAGAUAUCAGGAGGAACACCGGAGGCGAAGGCGGGUCUCUGGGCCGAUAUUGACGCUGAGGAGCGAAAGCGUGGGGAGCAAACAGG
rnacentral:rRNA from 1 species